ensembl:lncRNA
GCUCUCUAGGUGAUUCUAAUGUCAGCAAAGAUGGAGAACCACUGAUGUAGUCAGUGAGAAGUAAUAGGGGCUAUUUUUCAGAACAGCGUUUUGAGUUAAUUUGAAAGGAGGGAAAAUCUCAGGGCGAAGGUUAUUGUGGUGAGGUUAUAAGGUGAGGUCAAAGGUUAGCAAGGAGGUCUGGGUGGGCAUGGGGUCAGUUACACAGUAUGCUCUUAAAUGAUAGCGGGUAAAGUGAGCUGAACUUAAUCUGAAAAAAAAGCAAAAAAAGGAGUUCUGGCAUCCUAAGGUGGUGUUCAGCAAAGGGCAGUGUCAGGACAGUACCUCAGCUGAAGACCUUCAGGUCCAUGGAAGACAGUGCAUGGAUUAUUCUGAAGAAUGACUUUCCGACAAUCUGCCCCCAGCUGUGUGUUGCAAUGCACGUGGCGGAGCUGCGCUUCCAAAGAGGCUGGCUCAGUGGGGCUGCGGUGAUGUCUCCUUCCAGGUCCCAGCAUGGAUGACCCUGUUCUUCUUGGCCCUGAGUUAACAUCUGCUGCCAAUCCUCCUCUUUUCUCUGAGGAAGACUGGCCCUGAGCUCACAUCCGUGCCCAUCUUCCUCUGCUUUAUAUGUGGGACGCCUGCCACAGCAUGGCUUGCCAACCGGUGCCAUGUCCACACCCGGGAUCUGAACUGGCAAAUCCCGGGCUGCUGAAGAGGAAUGUGUGAACUUAACCACUGCGCCACAAGGCUGGCCCCACAAUACCUUUCUUAAGCGUUGUCUAGUUAAUCCUCAUGCAACACCAAAGGAGCUCUCCUUGCCCACAUCUCUCAGAUGACAAAAUCAGGCUGAGGAAAAAGAAGUUGACUCAGCCAAGGUCACACAGUCAGAUUAGGGCUCAGCUUCAGGUCUUCUGACCACAGUGCCAUAUUGGGUGUUCUCCUCCCCCUGGACUUGCCCUGGCCGGAGAAAAGACCCUUCUCUGGGGCAGACAGCAGACUUGCUGACACACGCACAACGCAACCUGGAUAGGGGUGGCGUCAGAUUAGCCUCAAGGCAGAGCAACUUGCUGUUGGUGUUCUUCUGUUUAUACAGGGCUUUUCUUCAAAGCACUCCACCUGGUUUUGCAAAUAACUAUUACAGACCUUUCCUGCAGCAAGUCUAGGGGAGACGAGUCAAACAACGGCAGCAGAUGUUCUCCAGCCUUCGAAACCAACGAGUCUCCACACUUGUCAGCUGACGUGGCUCACAGGGUCCAGGAUUAACAGCACAGGCCUCUGUGAUUUGUCUGGUGAAGUAACACGGCAGCUCACAGAGGUUUAAUCAUUGCCCACUGGCCCCACCAAAAUAGCACAGGAGAUUAUGAAACUCCUUAUGCUUCACAGAGUGACAGCUGUGUGGCCCUCGUAGACUCCUCUCCCUCGAGAUCCACUGAGGAGGACUCUGCUGGGCUGUUCUCACAGUCUCGGCGGCUUAGCCAAGGAAGAGCUUCAUUUCUCAGGGCUGGGCUCACACUAUGUGCAUCCCGAGUCCACUUCCUAGGCCUGAGGCCUUCCUGGCAGCUCCUCCUGACUGCCGGGCUGGCUGUUCUCAGGAAGGAGCCUACAGGGACACAUCUCAGCUGCAUGUUCUCACGUAUGCCCAAGGCUGCCAAGCAGCGUCCAGUGAGCUGUGUGCUGGAGGCUGUGCCCAGGCUCCCCUGCCAAGCCCCCAGGCCCUUAGUGAGGGGUGGGACCCAUGGGAGUUGUUUGCAUUAGUCCAUGGCAGCCUGCUCAGCAGCCCACCAUGAACCUUUCCUGGGCCUGAGUUAAUGACUUGCUAUGGCUCCCACUUGCCUCCCAGCCAGGCCAGUGGCUUCCUUCCCAGCACCAGCCUGCUCUGCAACUCAGACCAGGGCACACUUCAACCCAGACACUCAAAGAUGCCCUCCUGAGUGGUGGCACCCACGUUAGCAUAUGGUCCUCUAGAAAGGGGACUGGGAAACUGCCCAGCAUGGAGUCCAAAUUCAGCUAGUAAAGAUGGGAAGACAAUUUUCUUCUGGAUCCCGCUAUUGACUUCCUUCAGCAGUUCUCAGAAAACUAGAGUUGGACAGAGAAGUGCCAGUUUCUGUCUGCCUUUGGACAGAACUUGCUAUACCUCUACUAAAUGACCAUCUGGCUCCAGACCCCUCAGGGUCAGCUGAUUCCUGUAAAUCCAUGGUCUUCCAGCAGGGAGGUUCAUGGGACUCCCCAUCAGGGAGGGGGAACGGGCUCCACCGGCCGAGAUUUGAGUUCGAUGAGUCUGGGUCAGGAUUGACACAUAGUUCCCCACCCCCAUAACCCAAAGCCUUGAAUUUCAUAGACAUAAAGGAAAGACAGAAGGGAACUUGAGAAAUAAUCUCAGUUGACAGAAGACAGUCUCACCCGAUAGGGAACCAUCAGCUCACGGGUUUCAGCUAAAGAUCAGCAGAGCUGACAUGCUGCAGAGCCGAAUGGAGCAAGUGAUUGGCACUUCUCCCGCCUGCUUCAUCCUCUCCUUCGCUGGAGAGACAUCACUAGAUAUCAGGAAUCACUAGGCAGGAAUCUCCUCAUAAUUAGUCCCCAGGACAGCCAAGUUCUUGCCACCUGGGGAACAAAGGCAACCCGUGGGGUCUGUCAGGUGCAACUCACGGCCAGGACCUCAGUGGGAGGCUGGCUAGAGGCAGCCACCCCGAAGCCAGAGGACUCACCCCUCCUAAAGGGAUGCUGCGCUCAGUCCUGAUGGGGACAGGGGCAGGGUGGAUGUGUGCGGGGACAGCCUGACCAUAGCUCAGCAGGAAGCAAGCCAUGUAUUUAUUUAUGGUGAGGACCACAUUUCACCCUCGGUUAAGCUGGCUCCAAGCGAGCAGUGCAAUCUCAGCUCUGGGAGGAA